rnacentral:rRNA from 1 species
GUGAACAACGAAGGGCGCGCGGUGGAUGCCUAGGCUCUCGGAGGCGAUGAAGGACGCGAUAAGCCGCGAUAGGCCACGGCGAGGUGCAAGUAACCCUUGACCCGUGGAUUUCCGAAUGGGGCAACCCGGCCGUCUAGAUGACGGUCAUGCAGUAAUGCAAGCGAACGCGGGGAACUGAAACAUCUCAUUACCCGCAGGAGAAGAAAACAAAAUGUGAUUCCCCCAGUAGUGGCGAGCGAACGGGGAAGAGCCCAAACCGUUGCCGUUUCGGCGACAGCGGGGUCAUGGGACCGCGACAUUCGACGGAAGACGAAGUGCAAUUACCUGGAAAGGUAAGCCGUGGAGGGUGACAGCCCCGUGCACGACACCUCUUUCGAAGAUAGCGGUAUCCCGAGUAGGGCGGGACACGAGAAAUCCUGCCUGAAUUCGCCAGGACCGCCUGGCAAGGCUAAAUACUCCCGAGAGACCGAUAGUGAACCAGUACCGCGAGGGAAAGGUGAAAAGUACCCCGAGCAGGGGGGUGAAAUAGACCCUGAACCCGCGCGCCUACAAGCGGUCGGAGCCGGGUAAUCCGGUGACGGCGUGCCUUUUGCAUAAUGAGCCUACGAGUUAGUCGUCACCAGCGAGGUUAAGGGCUUCAGGCCCGUUAGCCGAAGUGAAAGCGAGCCUUAACAGGGCGUCGAGUUGGUGGCGCUAGACGCGAAACCUUGUGAUCUACCCACGAGCAGGUUGAAGUCGCGGUAACACGUGAUGGAGGACCGAACCGGUAAACGUUGAAAAGUUUUCGGAUGACUCGCGGGUAGGGGUGAAAGGCCAAUCAAACUGGGAAAUAGCUCGUACUCUCCGAAAUGCAUUUCGGUGCAGCCUGUGAUGUUCUGUUCCAGAGGUAGAGCUACUGGUUGGACGCGAGGGCUUCACCGCCUAUCAAAUCCGGAUAAACUCCGAAUGCUGGAACACGAAAUCAUGGAGUGAGCCCGCGGGUGCUAAGGUCCGCGGACGAGAGGGAAAGAACCCGGACCACCGGCUAAGGUCCCGGAUGGACAGUUAAGUUGAUCAAACGAGGUGGGAUCGCGGAGACAGCUAGGAUGUUGGCUUGGAAGCAGCCAUUCAUUUAAAGAGUGCGUAACAGCUCACUAGUCGAGCGAUCCCGCGUGGAUAAUACACGGGCAUCAAACUGUCAACCGAAGCCGUGGGGUUAGUUAAUGACUAACCGGUAGGAGAGCAUUCCUGCCAGCUUAGAAGGUCACCCGCGAGAGUGACUGGAGCGGCAUGAAAAGCAAAUGUAGGCAUAAGUAACGAUAAUGGGGGCGAGAACCCCCCACGCCGCAAGACCAAGGAUUCCCCGGCAAUGUCAAUCAGCCGGGGGUCAGCCGGCCUCUAAGGCUCACCCGAAAGGGGAUGCCGACGAGAAACGGGUUAACAUUCCCGUGCUUCUCGUCACCGUGACGCGGUGACGGGGUGAUGAAUGGACCGCGCGCUGACGGAAUAGCGCGUUGAAGGCCGUACCCUAUGACGGUGGUAGUCAAGCACGCCACCGGAGGCGAGAGCCGAUAGUACCACGAGACCCCGGUCGAGUGGAUAGCGUCCAGGCAAUUUACCCCCUAGAAAACCCGCUAAACUUCAAGUGACGAGGAACCGUACUGUAAACGGACACACGUGGUCGGGUAGAACAUACCAAGGCGCUCGAGUGAUUCAUGGUCAAGGAACUAGGCAAAAUAGUCCUGUAACUUAGGGAAAAAGGACGCUCUAGUGAUAGAGCCGCAGAGUAAUGGCCCAGGCGACUGUUUACCAAAAACACAUGGCUAUGCCAAAUCGAAAGAUGACGUAUAUGGCCUGACACCUGCCCGGUGCCGGAAGGUUAAGAGGAGAGCUCAUCGGAAACGAGAAGGUUUGAAUUGAAGCCCCGGUAAACGGCGGCCGUAACUAUAACGGUCCUAAGGUAGCGAAAUUCCUUGUCGGGUAAGUUC